rnacentral:rRNA from 1 species
GCUCAGGACGAACGCUGGCGGCGUGCUUAACACAUGCAAGUCGAACGAACUCGGGCUUCGGCCCACAUGAGUGAGUGGCGAACGGGUGAGUAACGCGUGAGAAACCUGCCCCGAAGUCGGGAAUAACUCAGGGAAACUUGAGCUAAUACCGGAUGCCCUCGUCUGGUCGCAUGAUCGGAUGAGGAAAGAUUUAUCGCUUCGGGAGGGUCUCGCGACCUAUCAGCUAGUUGGUGAGGUAAUGGCUCACCAAGGCAUCGACGGGUAGCUGGUUUGAGAGAACGAUCAGCCACAUUGGAACUGAGACACGGUCCAAACUCCUACGGGAGGCAGCAGUGGGGAAUCUUGCACAAUGGGCGAAAGCCUGAUGCAGCGACGCCGCGUGGGGGAUGAAGGCCCUAGGGUCGUAAACCCCUUUCAGUAGGGACGAAAAUGACGGUACCUACAGAAGAAGCUCCGGCCAACUACGUGCCAGCAGCCGCGGUAAGACGUAGGGGGCGAGCGUUGUCCGGAUUUAUUGGGCGUAAAGGGCUCGUAGGCGGUUACGUAAGUCGGAUGUGAAAACUCCAGGCUCAACUUGGAGACGCCAUCCGAUACUGCGUUGACUUGAGUCCGGUAGAGGAGUGUGGAAUUCCUAGUGUAGCGGUGGAAUGCGCAGAUAUUAGGAGGAACACCUAUUGCGAAGGCAGCACUCUGGGCCGGUACUGACGCUGAGGAGCGAAAGCAUGGGUAGCAAACAGGAUUAGAUACCCUGGUAGUCCAUGCCGUAAACGGUGGGCACUAGAUGUGGGGACUUUCAACGGUUUCCGUGUCGUAGCUAACGCAUUAAGUGCCCCGCCUGGGGAGUACGGCCGCAAGGCUAAAACUCAAA